rnacentral:rRNA from 1 species
CCUACGGGAGGCAGCAGUGAGGAAUAUUGGUCAAUGGACGAGAGUCUGAACCAGCCAAGUAGCGUGAAGGAUGACUGCCCUAUGGGUUGUAAACUUCUUUUAUAUGGGAAUAAAAUGUUCCACGUGUGGGAUUUUGUAUGUACCAUAUGAAUAAGGAUUGGCUAACUCCGUGCCAGCAGCCGCGGUAAUACGGAGGAUCCGAGCGUUAUCCGGAUUUAUUGGGUUUAAAGGGAGCGUAGGUGGAUUGUUAAGUCAGUUGUGAAAGUUUGCGGCUCAACUGUAAAAUUGCAGUUGAAACUGGCAGUCUUGAGUACAGUAGAGGUGGGCGGAAUUCGUGGUGUAGCGGUGAAAUGCUUAGAUAUCACGAAGAACUCCGAUUGCGAAGGCAGUUCACUGGACUGCAACUGACACUGAGGCUCGAAAGUGUGGGUAUCAAACAGGAUUAGAUACCCCUGUAUC